AGGAGAAGGACAUAGACCGGUGUAUCGGGGUGGACGUGGACUAUCUCUCUACCAUGGACUUUGACAUGACUCCGACAGACAUGGAGUUUCUCAUGGCACAAGGAGCAACAGCGGCAACCGCCUACAUCAUGGAGUAUGCGGAACACAAACAACCACCACACAAGCGUCUGUCGUGAUUCAGAACCAACCAAUGAAACAAACAAACAAACAAACUUAUAGAAGAGCGAUAUAAAUAGUAUAACGAUACGUCAGCAAAAUAUAAGAGAUAAAGCUUUGAAGGAAACUGUAGUAGGACGAAAUUAGUACCCACAUUUUCUGUGACAAUGCGACAGUGUAGUAUUUGUCAAGAAAUAUUUUGUUGAAUCCAUUGCUUCUGACUGACUUGCAA